GAGGGUAUAGCUUAGUGGUGGAGCUUGUGCUUAGCAUGCCUGAGGUCCUGGGUUCAAUCCCUAGUACCUCCA
rnacentral:tRNA from 1 species